UGUGUUUUUUGUGAUGACAGACACUUUAAGUCUUGAAAUGUAUUUUAAUUUGUGUUUCAGAAAGUACAUUUGAGGUUAGCUAACCAUAUCUAAAUUGUCUUAAUUCAAUCCAAAGUUCAUCCGAAGAGGUGCCUGUAACUUUAGCUUCAGGUCUGGGCUUUGAGUGUUUGAUGGCUUGUCGAUUCUGCUGGGAAUGUGGAGCUUACUAGCUCCGCUUCUGAAAAUUAUUCACCUUAAAUCUGCAGUUGGGGAGUGGUAUUGAAUUGGUCAAAAAUUUCGAUAGCAAGUUCUCGAUGUACUUCUUCAUUCUGAAUGGUUGGAGGAUUAAUAUGAGAUUUGGAGAGUGAGAUAUGGCUUGUGCGCACAAAGUAGCUCUGAUUUUGUAAAAUUUUCAUCAUUUUGGUUCAUAUUUAUAUGCAUUGGUACUUGGUUGUUUUAACUUUAUGUAAGCAUAAUUUGUGCACUUA